AGAUUCUUUCUUCAGAAUGAAAUUUCUUAUCCUGGCUAGCCUUUGGAUCACUGCCACUGCUCUGCCCAUCCCUCUUGAACAACCUGGAGGAAGUUCCAGUAGUCAGAGAUUCAACGUUUACCCACCGCAAGGACCAGCAUUUUUUCCUCAGAUCCCAUUUCCCCCACCUCCGCAACUGCCCCUGAU